AUUGAACGCUGGCGGCAUGCCUUACACAUGCAAGUCGAACGGCAGCACGGGUGCUUGCACCUGGUGGCGAGUGGCGAACGGGUGAGUAAUACAUCGGAACAUGUCCUGUAGUGGGGGAUAGCCCGGCGAAAGCCGGAUUAAUACCGCAUACGAUCUACGGAUGAAAGCGGGGGACCUUCGGGCCUCGCGCUAUAGGGUUGGCCGAUGGCUGAUUAGCUAGUUGGUGGGGUAAAGGCCUACCAAGGCGACGAUCAGUAGCUGGUCUGAGAGGACGACCAGCAACAAUGGGAAUGAGACACGGCCCAGACUCCUACGGGAGGCAGCAGUGGGGAAUUUUGGACAAUGGGAGAAAGCCUGAUCCAGAAAUGCCGCGUGUGUGAAGAAGGCCUUCGGGUUGUAAAGCACUUUUGUCCGGAAAGAAAUCCUUGGCCCUAAUACGGUCGGGGGAUGACGGUACCGGAAGAAUAAGCACCGGCUAACUACGUG
rnacentral:rRNA from 1 species